rnacentral:misc_RNA from 1 species
AACGAGGCCGACCUGCGGCUGAGUUACCUGCGGAAGGAUCAUUACACAAUACAAUAUGAAGGCUGUCCGCAGCUGGAGUAUUUUAUUACCCUUGUCUUUUGCGCACUUGUUGUUUCCUGGGCGGGUUCGCUCGCCACCAGGACCACCAAAUAAACCUUUUUUAUGCAGUUGCAAUCAGCGUCAGUACAAACAAUGUAAAUCAUUUACAACUUUCAACAAUGGAUCUCAGAUCGGAAGAGC